GGUUUGCUGCACUUGACGCUGCAGGGCGGGCGGGGUAAAGAAGGGAGCGAGCCCUUCUCAAGCUUGGAAAGUUUCCAGACUGCUGGGCCAGCCUCCUCCCCAGAGGGAAACUGAGGUCCGAUUGAGGUUUCUCCAAGACCGCCCACUCCUGCUCCUGUCCCCAAACCCCUUUCUGCCUAGGGUUCCUGGAAGCCAAGGAAACAGAACGAACUGUUCCCUGGGUGGGCGAGCCACUGCAGAGUACAAAGCUUUCAGGCCGCCUGCCUCAUUAGCACUAAUGGCUGCUCCCUUCCGCCCUGUGUCGUCAGGACUGUCUAUGCCUGGUCUCAUCAGCACAAGGCUGGGCUGAAGAAGUCCCAGGAGUCCUCCCAUGUCCUCUCAGCAACCCAGGCUGGAGCCUACUCCUUGGUGUUGGCAAAGGAAACCGUCUUUGAAGGGCAACUGUUUGAAAAUGCUGCAGAAACAUGAGAAAUGUUCAUGAAGUGACCCUGUGGAGGCUUCCGGUCACAGGAUCAUGUGAGCGCCACGAUCACCCCAGGGGUGGAGCAGAUGCUAAGUGUUCACCACACCCAAUUCUCUUCCUGGACACACAGGAAGAUGACAUUUCCAGUGACAUGCCCCACCUCUAGGCCCUAGUCUUUUUUUUAUUUAAAGGUCUGAGUCUUGUUCUGUCACCCAGGCUGGAGUGCAGUGCUGUGAUCAUGACUCACUGCAGCCUCAACCUCCUGUGCUCAAACAAUCCUCCCACCUCAGCCUCCCUAAUAGCUGAUGUCAUAUAGGCAUGAGCCAGUGUGCCUGGCUCAGGCCCUACCCUUAAAAGCAUCCCACCUGAUUCACCAGCCCCCUUCUCUCUCUCAGUAAACUUGGAAACCACGCAUUCCAGAUGGUAUAAUUUACAGCAUGAUGGAAAAAGCCAGCUCUCCAUGGGAAGCUGGCCAGUCUUCAUUGGAGUACAUUUUUAUUGCAUGAAGCCAAUGAGACUUGAUAUUGUUUAACUCUGUGGUUUCCAAAGUGCGGUCCUUUUGAAGUAUCCAUAAAGUCUACACUAGGUUCACGGUAAUAUUAAGAUGUUAUUUGUCAGCUGGGCACGGUGGCUCACGCCUAUAAUCUCAGCACUUUGGGAGGCCAAGGCAAAUGGAUAAUGAGGUCAGGAGUUUCAGACCAGCCUGGCCAACAUGGUGAAACCCAGUCUCUACUAAAAAUACAAAAAUUACCUGGGUGUGGUGAUGCAUGCCUGUAAUCCCAGCUACUCAGGAGGAGGCUGAGGCAGGAGAAUUGCUUGAAUCCGGGAGGCAGAGAUUGCAGUGAGCUGAAAUCUCACCACUGCACUCCAGCCUGGGUGAUGGAGCAAGACACUGUCUCAAAAAAAAAAAAAAAGAUAUUAUUUGUCUUUCAUGAGUGUACAGUGGGAUUUUCCAGAGGCUACAUGACAUGUGUUUUUUUAUUUUGUUUUUUAUACUGACAGAGGGGUCUUGCUAUGUUGCCCAGACUGGUCUUCCAACUCCUGGCCUCAAGUGAUCCUCCCGCCUUCACCUCCCAAAGUGCUGGGAUUAUAGGUGUGAGCCACUGCGCCUGGCUGUUUGUGACAUGUGAUGUUGAAACAGGUUGAGUAUAGAAGCAGAUAUGGGAAUUAAACCAGAAUAUUAAACCAGACAUUGAAGAGAUUUGCAAAAAAUACAAAACAAUACCACUGUUUUCACUUUCUUUUUGGUUUGGAAAAAUGUAGUUAUUUUUCAUUAAAAGUAUGUUGUGUUGGCUGGGCACAGUGGCUCAUGCCUGUAAUCUCAACGCUGGGAGACUGAGGUGGGAGGAUCACUUGAGAUCAGGAGUUCGAGACCAGCCUGACCAACAUAAUGAAACCCCAUCUCUACUAACAAUAUAAAAAUUAGCUGGGCUGGCUGAGCGCGGUGGCUCACGCCUGUAAUCCCAGCACUUUGGGAGGCCAAGGCGGGCGGAUCAUGAGGUCAGGAGAUCGAGACCAUCCUGGCUAACAUGGUGAAACCCCAUCUCUACUAAAAAUACAAAAAAUUAGCUGGGCGAGGUGGCGGGCGCCUGUAGUCCCAGCUGCUCAGGAGGCUGAGGCAGGAGAAUGGCGUGAACCCAGCGGGCAGAGCCUGCAGUGAGCAGAGAUCGCGCCACUGCACUCCAGCCUGGGCGACAGCAAGACUCCGUCUCAAAAAAAAAAAAAAAAAAUAACUGGGCUUGGUGGCAUGCGCCUAUAAUCCCAGCUACUUGAGAGGCUGAAGCAGAAGAAUUGCUUGCACCUGGGAGGGGCAGGUUGCAGUGAGCCAAGAUCGCACCACUGCACUCCAGCCUGGGCAACAGAGCAAGACACCUUCACCUUCUCAAAAAAAAAAAAAGUUGUGUUAACAUGUAAUGGUUUCAUGAUAUCAUUUUAAAUAAAUUAAUAAACAUGUAAA
rnacentral:lncRNA from 1 species